rnacentral:rRNA from 1 species
AACGAACGCUGGCGGCAUGCCUAACACAUGCAAGUCGAACGAGACCUUCGGGUCUAGUGGCGCACGGGUGCGUAACGCGUGGGAACCUGCCCUUUGGUUCGGAAUAACUCCCCGAAAGGGGUGCUAAUACCGGAUAAUGUCUUCGGACCAAAGAUUUAUCGCCUUUGGAUGGGCCCGCGUUGGAUUAGCUAGUUGGUAGGGUAAAAGCCUACCAAGGCGACGAUCCAUAGCUGGUCUGAGAGGAUGAUCAGCCACACUGGGACUGAGACACGGCCCAGACUCCUACGGGAGGCAGCAGUGGGGAACAUUGGACAAUGGGCGAAAGCCUGAUCCAGCAAUGCCGCGUGAGUGAUGAAGGCCUUAGGGUUGUAAAGCUCUUUUACCCGGGAUGAUAAUGACAGUACCGGGAGAAUAAGCUCCGGCUAACUCCGUG